UCUGGAAACCACUCCAUGUACUCUGGUGGGGAUGCUUUAAAAAUGACCAAUGUACUACACAUGCAUCUACAUUCUCCACAGAACAAAAUGAUGCCUGCACUUAUUGGAAAAGGGUAAGAAUUAUGUUUAUAGUUUGGCUCGUUUUGGCCAUGUGGUUUAUUCAUGGAAUUGUACAUGGUAAAAUGUUUUUAUCUUGUUUUUCUUCUUUUCAGAAACAUUGAUUUUUAUUCUUUUAUGAUAGGUAAUAGUAAUAGUAAUACAUUGGUUAGUUUAUAAAUGAUUAAUGGUGAGUUAUCAAACACUAUUAUUUUGGAAAAUAAAUUUUCAUGAAAAAAGCCGGUUUCAAAAUAUUUAACUCCUUAUGAAAAUGUGUGAAUGGGUGAUUCAAUCUUAUGGCAGUGCCAUGUGAGUUAAAAUAUCUCAAAGGUUUUGAAGGAAGCCAUUUAGCAUGUUUUAUUGAUUUCUAUAGAAGAAUUUGUGUCAACUGCCAAUAUUAAAUUUUGUAGACAUGUAUUUUUGAAAAAUGUAUCCUCAAAUUGGUAUGCUUAGUUGUAUCAUUUCAAAUCAGUGCAAAGCAAUGGCGUGAUGGUGAUUGGAUGUGCACGAAUUGCAACAAUCAUAAUUUUGCUUCCCGUUCAUCUUGUAAUAGGUAUGCUCUGCUGUUCUCUCUACUCUCUUAACUCCAUUUUUUCCCUGUAUAUAUAAUUAUAAUUAUAUAUAUUUCUUUUUAAAAUUUUAACAGAUUAAAAAUUGAGAUUUUGGAAUAAAAAAUAAGCUAGGUGCUAGCUAUAAUCACUAGGCUUUCCUUGGGAGCAUGGAAUGAUAUAUAUGAGCCGAGAGAGAGGAUAUUCUAACAACAUCCCACUAAACCUCCAGAGCUAAUUCUAAAAGAUGUGAAAUUUUUCUUUGAUGUUGGGAUCUUAAAAAACAAUCAUACUUGAUUUAGAAUAAGGCUAUAAUUCUACGAGAGUCUGGUCACUAAUUUUUAGUUUUGUAAUGCUAUUAACAAAGCUGUAUGAGGACACAGACAACGAGCAUACCUCACCCUCACCCUCAUGAUCUUGUAUUUAUUUAAUUAUUUGUACCGUAUUACUGUGUACUUAUGCACUUUUCCUCAUCCUUAUCUAGUGGAAUUUUAAUCUUAUUUUUUAAUAACCUUCUGAAUUCUGAUCGAAUAUGUUAGAAUUGAGUUACGACAAGACCAAUUUUUUUCUGCCUUCUCAGUUCUCACUCCCAUGGCAUUGAUUAGGAUGUCAAAGUACCCAUGGUUUUAAAAGCGCAGAAGUGCUGUGCGCCAGCACUCAGCGCACUUGAGCUAUUGCGUAUUAGACGUGCGUAUAAAUAUGCCUAGCCAUGUACAUUUAAAUCCAUGAAUGUACCUCACACUCCUAAGUUGUAAUCUACUUCAGCCCUGAGGAGAAUCAUUUGUCUCCAAGGAAUGGACUUCUUACCAUCCCAAAUCAAUUGGCAGGCAAAUCUUUGGAAAUUCACAAUGAUAGAUUUUUGGAGGGUAGUGUCUUGGGUGCAGUAGUUAUAUUUUUCAGCCACGUUCUAGUUCCCUAGUUGUAUCAUACCCCCCAUAAGAUAGACAUGGAGACACUAUUCCUUCCAUUUGUCUAGCAUCUUUUUAACUGGCUGGUUAGUUUCCAACCCUGUUCAUAGUUUUUCUUUUUUCCUGCGAUGGGAAUUCUAAGGGUAUGCAACAGGUAAUUCUUUUGCUGGAAAGUCCAAGUACAGAAUGGUUAACCUUGGAUCUUGAAAUAGUAGUAGGCCACACGUUUCUCCUGGUUGACCCCAUGACGUGAAAAAUUGCUGAACUCUUUCAGACUCAGUGUAGUUUACACUUUACAACAUCCAAUGAUUUGCCUUAGUGAACAGCAAAAUGUGAUCUUACAUAUAUGAUACAUCAGACAUGUUAUUUACGUGUCAGAUGUGAUGUGGUAUCAUUCACCUGUAGGUAUCAUUGUAUAAAUUUGCUUAUUCUCCACUGUCUGCAUGAUGAUGAGCCUGCUAAGAAGUAAGAAUAUCUAUCUCUAAGUCAUAUAGAAUGAGUGAUGGGAUCACUUUUUUAACUCCCUUUUGACCCCAUGACCUGAAAAAUUGCUGAACUCUUUCAGACUCAGUGUAGUUUACACUUUACAACAUCCAAUGAUUUGGAAUUUGCCUUAGUGGACAGCAGAAUGUGAUCUUACAUAUAUGAUACAUCAGACAUGUUAUUUACGUGCCAGAAGUGGUUUGGUAUCAUUCAUCUGUAGGUAUCAUUGUAUAAAUUUGCUUAUUCUCCACUGUCUGCAUGAUGAUGAGCCUGCUAAGAAGUAAGAAUAUCCAUCUCUAAGUCAUAUAGAAUGAGUGAUGGGAUCACUUUUUUAACUCCCUUUUGAUAAGUUAUUGGUAGGUGUUCCCUCUACUAUGAUAGAGAAUGAGAUAGAUGUGAUGCAGUUAUUCGUUAUAAGCCAGACGCAUGAGGAGAAACCCGUAGCCUAUGGGUUAUGACUAUGACCUCCCACCUAAUGGUAUCAAAUACCUUCCUGAGAUCUACAUUUAAACCACACCACACCUCCUAAGAGAUAUACAUUUCUGUCUUCCAGCAUUUUGGUUCACACAUGUAAAUGAAGCAAUGAGUUUGAACUCUGACAUAAAUGGCAUGUCUGAGGCUGUAGAAGUCUUGGGGAUGAGAGUAAGAAAGGUGUUGUUAAUUGUUUGUGAUAGUGGUCUGCCAUUGAAUAAUUGACAUAGAACUCAGCAAUAGCUUUAAUUAAUGCCAUAAUUUCUGGAUGAACAUGCCUGUAAAUCCAUUAGGUCUGGUGACUUUUCAAUUUGGAAGGAAAAUAUGGUGGCUCUCGACUCCUCCUCAAUUGGCCGUUAUGACUUAUGAUAUCCACUUGGUCAUUGGUAGAGACAAUUCUAUGAAACCAAACAGUGUACCAAAUCUAAACUCUGUUUUCAGUUCUGUAUAUUUCUGUGAAAUAUUGCAGUCUGACAGGGCGGUGAGUAUAAUUAUGAAUCAUAAUUUAUGAUGCCUCUCCUUCAGACCAAAAUGUCAGAAGAAGAGUUGUUGUUAGCCACUUAAGAUUGUUAUUACGACAAAACUGGGAGAUCAACUUCCAUGUGAGCAUGUCUGGUUACUCUAUUACUAGAUAUCAUAGUCACAUAGGAUAGUGUUAGUGACUUUACUUAUCUCUCUCUCUAUUUUGUUUUUUUAUAUCUCCUAUAAUUCUAGGCAUUUCUCUUCAUUUUUAAUGAGAAUCUUUAUUUCCAUAAAAAAAGUCAUAUUCAUGCAAGACAUGGAUUUGAUUUUAGAUUUGUCAGUAUUCAUGCAAUCAUAUUCAUGGUAAGUUCGCCUGAUACAUCAAAGAUUUGUCAGUAUACGAAUUAUUUAUGUUAAAAUAAUACCAUAUUUGUGCUGUGAUUGGUAAGCAUAUCCAAUCUAUAAUCUUGAUGCCGUGACAUGUUUUGCCUCACUUAUUUAUUCUCAAAUCUCAAUCACCAAACCUGAAUUAUUUAAAGCAUUGAAUAAUCCUUAUUUUAUUAUUUAUUUAUGUGUUGCAGAUG
rnacentral:lncRNA from 1 species